GCGGCGAGAGCGGGUCAC
rnacentral:snRNA from 1 species